UCAAGGCACUUUAUGAGAAAAAGGCAUUUCUUUCCAUCUUUGUCAGGCAAGGGCUCUACACAACAGUUGCCGUCCAGUAUGAUGUCUCCCUUCUUGUCCUUUAGGUCUUCACUUACAUAGUAGGAAAUAAUAUUGGGUUUUAGUACAAACCAUCGUUCCGUCCAGUUUUUCCUUUUGUGACCUUUCUUCAGCAUAUAACCCUGUUUGAGUACAUCCAAUAUGAGCUCGUUAAAGACUUCAUUAAUGGCCAUGGACACGGUCUGGCGGUCCAUGCCCUUACUGAACUGCCCGCUCCCAAUGAGAUCGAUCAGCUCCCACGCAGAGAG
rnacentral:lncRNA from 1 species